rnacentral:rRNA from 1 species
AGCGAACGCUGGCGGCAGGCCUAACACAUGCAAGUCGAACGAAGCCUUCGGGCUUAGUGGCGGACGGGUGAGUAACACGUGGGAACGUACCUUUUGGUUCGGAACAACUCAGGGAAACUUGAGCUAAUACCGGAUGAGCCCUUAGGGGGAAAGAUUUAUCGCCGAAAGAGCGGCCCGCGUUAGAUUAGCUAGUUGGUGAGGUAAAGGCUCACCAAGGCAACGAUCUAUAGCUGGUCUGCGAGGAUGAUCAGCCAGACUGGGACUGAGACACGGCCCAGACUCCUACGGGAGGCAGCAGUGGGGAAUCUUGCGCAAUGGGCGAAAGCCUGACGCAGCCAUGCCGCGUGAAUGAUGAAGGUCUUAGGAUUGUAAAAUUCUUUUACCAGGGACGAUAAUGACGGUACCUGGAGAAAAAGCCCCGGCUAACUUCGUGCCAGCCGCCGCGGUAAUAC